AAGUCGUAACAAGGUAACCGUAGGUGAACCUGCGGUUGGAUCAUUACCAAUUACUCUUGCCUCUGGGCAAAGGGACAACCAUGUGCACAGUUUUGUUUUUGGGCGCUGAGAUGGCGCCCGGCUUCUAACCCAAAUAUCAAGGUCUGAUUACCGUAAAAAAACAACUUUUGACAACGGAUCUCUUGGCUCUC
rnacentral:misc_RNA from 1 species